rnacentral:rRNA from 1 species
CUCAGGACGAACGCUGGCGGCGUGCCUAAUACAUGCAAGUCGAGCGGAACUUAGAAAGCUUGCUUUCUAAGUUUAGCGGCGGACGGGUGAGUAACACGUGGGCAACCUGCCUAUAAGACUGGGAUAACUUCGGGAAACCGGAGCUAAUACCGGAUAAUAUAAAAGAUCACAUGGUCUUUUAUUGAAAGAUGGCUUCGGCUAUCACUUAUAGAUGGGCCCGCGGCGCAUUAGCUAGUUGGUGAGGUAAUGGCUCACCAAGGCGACGAUGCGUAGCCGACCUGAGAGGGUGAUCGGCCACACUGGGACUGAGACACGGCCCAGACUCCUACGGGAGGCAGCAGUAGGGAAUCUUCCGCAAUGGACGAAAGUCUGACGGAGCAACGCCGCGUGAACGAUGAAGGCCUUCGGGUCGUAAAGUUCUGUUGUUAGGGAAGAACAAGUAUCGUUCGAAUAGGGCGGUACCUUGACGGUACCUAACCAGAAAGCCACGGCUAACUACGUGCCAGCAGCCGCGGUAAUACGUAGGUGGCAAGCGUUGUCCGGAAUUAUUGGGCGUAAAGCGCGCGCAGGCGGUCCUUUAAGUCUGAUGUGAAAGCCCACGGCUCAACCGUGGAGGGUCAUUGGAAACUGGGGGACUUGAGUGCAGAAGAGGAGAGUGGAAUUCCACGUGUAGCGGUGAAAUGCGUAGAGAUGUGGAGGAACACCAGUGGCGAAGGCGACUCUCUGGUCUGUAACUGACGCUGAGGCGCGAAAGCGUGGGGAGCGAACAGGAUUAGAUACCCUGGUAGUCCACGCCGUAAACGAUGAGUGCUAAGUGUUAGAGGGUUUCCGCCCUUUAGUGCUGCAGCUAACGCAUUAAGCACUCCGCCUGGGGAGUACGGUCGCAAGACUGAAACUCAAAGGAAUUGACGGGGGCCCGCACAAGCGGUGGAGCAUGUGGUUUAAUUCGAAGCAACGCGAAGAACCUUACCAGGUCUUGACAUCCCGUGACAACUCUAGAGAUAGAGCGUUUCUCUUCGGAGAACACGGUGACAGGUGGUGCAUGGUUGUCGUCAGCUCGUGUCGUGAGAUGUUGGGUUAAGUCCCGCAACGAGCGCAACCCUUGAUCUUAGUUGCCAGCAUUAAGUUGGGCACUCUAAGGUGACUGCCGGUGACAAACCGGAGGAAGGUGGGGAUGACGUCAAAUCAUCAUGCCCCUUAUGACCUGGGCUACACACGUGCUACAAUGGAUGGUACAAAGGGCAGCAAAACCGCGAGGUUGAGCGAAUCUCAUAAAACCAUUCUCAGUUCGGAUUGCAGGCUGCAACUCGCCUGCAUGAAGCUGGAAUCGCUAGUAAUCGCGGAUCAGCAUGCCCGCGGUGAAUACGUUCCCGGGCCUUGUACACACCGCCCGUCACACCACGAGAGUUUGUAACACCCGAAGUCGGUGGGGUAACCGCAAGGAGCCAGC